UGGGGAAUAUUGGACAAUGGGCGCAAGCCUGAUCCAGCCAUGCCGCGUGAGUGAUGAAGGCCCUAGGGUUGUAAAGCUCUUUCACCGGUGAAGAUAAUGACGGUAACCGGAGAAGAAGCCCCGGCUAACUUCGUGCCAGCAGCCGCGGUAAUACGAAGGGGGCUAGCGUUGUUCGGAUUUACUGGGCGUAAAGCGCACGUAGGCGGACUAUUAAGUCAGGGGUGAAAUCCCGGGGCUCAACCCCGGAACUGCCUUUGAUACUGGUAGUCUUGAGGUAGAGAGAGGGGAGUGGAAUUCCGAGGGUAGAGGGGAAAUUCGUAGAUAUUCGGAGGAACACCAGUGGCGAAGGCGGCUCACUGGCUCGAUACUGACGCUGAGGUGCGAAAGCGUGGGGAGCAAACAGG
rnacentral:rRNA from 1 species